rnacentral:rRNA from 1 species
UACGUAGGCAGCGAGCGUUGUUCGGAGUUACUGGGCGUAAAGGGUGCGUAGGCGGCGCGGUAAGUCGGGUGUGAAAUCUCGGAGCUUAACUCCGAAACUGCAUUCGAUACUGCCGUGCUUGAGGACUGGAGAGGAGACUGGAAUUUACGGUGUAGCAGUGAAAUGCGUAGAUAUUGUAAGGAAGACCAGUGGCGAAGGCGGGUCUCUGGACAGUUCCUGACGCUGAGGCACGAAGGCCAGGGGAGCAAACGGG